rnacentral:rRNA from 1 species
AUGGCAGCCACAUCCGUCGCCUCCGCCCCGCGCCCGCUCCGCGCGACGCCGCGCCGGCAUCCUUGCACGCCCUGCCGCCGCCACCACGCCGCGCCGCCCCACGCCCUCCGCAGGCCGCGCCUCUCCGUCUCGGCCUCCGCCGCCGACGAAGCCAGCAGCGCCUCGUCGCCGUCGUCUUCGCGGUUCUACUUCAACUUCACCGGCUUCCCCUUCCCGCUCGGCCCCUUCCUCAACCGCCGCACCACCCGCACCGAGGCCGUGAAGGGCAGCGUAUGGCUGUUCGAGCAGGAGCAGGCGCUGGGCUUCAGCAGCGUCUCCACCAACACCCGCAUGACCGUCGUCAGGCUCCGCUCCGGCGGGCUCUGGGUGCACGCCCCCAUCGCCCCCACCAAGGAAUGCAUCCAGCUGAUCAAGGAGCUGGGCGCGCCGGUGGAGCACAUCGUGCUGCCGACCUUCGCGUACGAGCACAAGAUCUUCCUCGGGCCCUUCUCCAGGAAGUUCCCCAGGGCGCAGGUGUGGGUGGCGCCGCGCCAGUGGAGCUGGCCCGUCAACCUGCCGCUCGAGUUCUUCGGGGUCUUCCGGUCCAAGCCCCUCGAGGACGAGGACGACGCCACGCCCUGGGCCGCCGAGAUCGAGCAGAAGGUGCUCAGCUCGCCGGAAGUUGGGAUUGGGCCGUAUGUGGAGGUGGCGUUCUACCAUAAGCCUUCCAGGACAUUGCUGGUGACGGAUGCUGUGAUUUUUGUUCCUCGGCAGCCACCCGAUUGCAUCAGCAAAGAGUCCUUGUUGGCAGCUGCCAAGAAUGGCUUGGCAGUGAAGAUAUUGAGCAAAGGGAGAGAGGUUCCUGAUGAUCCCGUUGAGGACAACAAGCUGACCCGGCAGACAGGAUGGGAGAGGAUGGUACUUCAAAUACUGUUUCUCGGCCCCUCAAAUCUUCUCGAGCCAAAUGCGAGUUUCGCUCAAAUGUCACAGAAACUGAUCGUUUCACCAAUUGUCAAGACACUCGUCUUCAGCAAAGUUCCGGAGAAGGUGAGGGACUGGGUGGACAGGAUCGCGGCGGACUGGCCGUUCCGACGGAUCAUCCCGGCGCACUUCGCCGCCCCAAUCAACGCGAGCCGGUCCGACUUCCUGGCCGCCUUCGCCUUCCUCGACGAGUUCCUCCCGGACCGCCCCGCCGCGUCGCUCGGCCUGCCCCUCAUCUUCGCCUCGCUCAUGGGCAAGGCGGCCAGCUACUUCCCGCCGGACGACAUGAAGACCCUCUCGUCGCUCGACGACUUCCUGGUCUCCGUCGGCGCAGUCAAGAAGACCGUCUCCGGAAGGAAGCGAUGA